rnacentral:lncRNA from 1 species
GAAGCUAGCAUCUCGGUAAGAUCAAAAGACUUCUGAUUAGAUCAAAAUCUCGUGUGGAUAUCCGUAGAGGACGGACGCUUGUGCGGCUAUAAAGAACCUUCGAAAGAUAUUCAUGGAUCAUCUGUUUGCAUUGAAGAUUGAUCCAUAUUCAGGUAUGUUUUAUAUUUAUUUUUUUUAUUUAAUUUUUGUAUUUGAAUCUUAUCUCACAUAUGAUGAUCCUAUUUAUGGUUUGAAGAUUUGAUCUUACACAUGCUCAGAUUAAAUUAGA